AGCGAACGCUGGCGGCAGGCUUAGCACAUGCAAGUCGAGCGGGCAUCCUUGUGGUGUCAGCGGCAGACGGGUGAGUAACGCGUGGGAACGUGCCCUUCGGUUCGGAAUAACUCAGGGAAACUUGAGCUAAUACCGGAUACGUGCGAGAGCAGAAAGGUUUAUCUGCCGAAGGAUCGGCCCGCGUCUGAUUAGCUAGUUGGUGAGGUUAUGGCUCACCAAGGCGACGAUCAGUAGCUGGUCUGAGAGGAUGAUCAGCCACACUGGGACUGAGACACGGCCCAGACUCCUACGGGAGGCAGCAGUGGGGAAUAUUGGACAAUGGGGGCAACCCUGAUCCAGCCAUGCCGCGUGAGUGAUGACGGCCUUAGGGUUGUAAAGCUCUUUUCUCCGGGACGAUAAUGACGGUACCGGAGGAAUAAGCCCCGGCUAACUUCGUG
rnacentral:rRNA from 1 species